rnacentral:rRNA from 1 species
CCUACGGGGGGCAGCAGUGAGGAAUAUUGGUCAAUGGGCGGGAGCCUGAACCAGCCAAGUCGCGUGAAGGACGACGGUCCUAUUGAUUGUAAACCUCUUUUGUCGGGGAACAAAGGCGCCCACGGGUGGGCGUAUUAGUGUACCCGAUGCAAAAGCAUCGUCUAACUCCGUGCCAGCAGCCGCGGUAAUACGGAGGAUGCGAGCGUUCUCCGGAUUUAUUGGGUUUAAAGGGUACGUAGGCGGCCAGUAAAGUCAGCGGUAAAACUGCGGUGGUAAACGCCGUACAGCCGUGGAAACUGGCAGUCUUGAGUGGGCGAGAAGUAUGCGGAAUGCGUGGUGUAGCGGUGAAAUGCAUAGAUAUCACGCAGAACUCCGAUUGCGAAGGCAGCAUACCGGCGCCCGACUGACGCUGAGGCACGAAAGCGUGGGUAUCGAACAGGAUUAGAUACCCGUGUAGUC